CAGGAACGCUGGCGGCGUGCCUAACACAUGCAAGUCGAGCGAGUGAAUCUCCUUCGGGAGUGAAGCUAGCGGCGGACGGGUGAGUAACACGUGGGCAACCUGCCUCAUAGAGGGGAAUAGCCUUUCGAAAGGAAGAUUAAUACCGCAUAAGAUUGUAGCUUCGCAUGAAGUAGCAAUUAAAGGAGCAAUCCGCUAUGAGAUGGGCCCGCGGCGCAUUAGCUAGUUGGUGAGGGAACGGCUCACCAAGGCGACGAUGCGUGGCGGACCUGAGAGGGUGAUUGGCCAGAAUGGGACUGAUCAACGUGCCGGACUCCUACGGGAGGCAGCAGUGGGGAAUAUUGCACAAUGGGGGAAACCCGGAUGCAGCAACGCGGCGUGAGUGAUGACGGCCUUCGGGUUGUAAAGCUCUGUCUUCAGGGACGAUAAUGACGGUACCUGAGGAGGAAGCCACGGCUAACUACGUGCCAGCAGCCGCCGCGGUAA
rnacentral:rRNA from 1 species